UGGGAUGUGGCUCAAGCGGUAGCGCGCUCGCCUGGCACGCGAGCGGCCUGGGUUCGAUCCCCAGCACCACAU
rnacentral:tRNA from 1 species